rnacentral:sRNA from 1 species
AAUCUUGAGUGUUCUCCAUCUUCUUCUACGACGGUGGCGAUAUAAUCGACGGCUGAGAUUGUGAGCUGAUGAUUUUGUUCUCUCAUGUGUUAGAGAGAGAAGGCUAGAGAAGAGAAGAGAGCUUUGAGAGUUUGGUGAGAACAGGGGACGGGGAAACAAGAAGAGAUAGGGAGUGUUUAUUUAUAAAAGAUUUUUAUUUUAUUGUUUU